CGGGGUGUAGCUCAGUUUGGCUAGAGCGCCUGGUUUGGGACCAGGAGGUCGCAGGUUCGAAUCCUGUCACCCCGACCA
rnacentral:tRNA from 1 species